GCGCUGGAGAACUGAGGGGGGCUGCUCCUAGUACGAGAGGACCGGAGUGGACGCAUCACUGGUGUUCGGGUUGUCAUGCCAAUGGCACUGCCCGGUAGCUAAAUGCGGAAGAGAUAAGUGCUGAAAGCAUCUAAGCACGAAACUUGCCCCGAGAUGAGUUCUCCCUGACUCCUUGAGAGUCCUGAAGGAACGUUGAAGACGACGACGUUGAUAGGCCGGGUGUGUAAGCGCAGCGAUGCGUUGAGCUAACCGGUACUAAUGAACCGUGAGGCUUAACCUU
rnacentral:rRNA from 1 species